AUGCUGCCUGCAAUAUGGACGACACUUCUGGAUAUCAUGUCUCAGCCUAAUGCGCGGAGGAAAACUGAGGCCAGGGCUGAGAAUGGACUUGUUGAUGAACAGUUUGUCCUGCGUCUCACGCUUUUCGAGGAGCUAUUCCGGGUCACAAAAUUCAUGUCUGACCAGCUCCAAUCUCCCACUCUUGAGCUUUCGUCCACAAUAGACUUAUCAGAGUCAGUCAUAGCGACAUUGUCAGACAAACGCGCAGAAGAGUCGUGGAUUGACAUUCGGGACAGAGCAGCGGACCUGUGCAUCAAAGCCGGUGUGAGCCAGGACGGGACACGCGAAAAGAGACUGACACAGCCUCCUCGAAUUCUUCAGGAGUUUGUUGUCGAGGCCCCAGUUGAGCGCACACCUGUUAGAACUUCAGAUGCGCAGCGCACACAUUUGUAUUACCCAGUAAUUGACAGACUUGUGGGUGAAAUGAGAAGACGUUUCUCAACCGAGGCCGGAGGUGUUUUAACUGGAGUCUCGGCACUCAGCCCCAAACAUGCGUCUCUCGUAGACAUGAAAUGUCUGCAGCCCAUGGCGCAGUUCUAUGGAGUGACUGAGGAAAACCUGACAGCAGAGCUACACCAAGUUCAGCGUCUGCUGGAAAGAAAGAAAGCACAGGGGCAUGUAGUGAAUGACACUUUGGAAUUUCUCGCUUUAAUGCGACCUUACCGGGAUGCUUUUGUGGAUUUAUACGGACUCAUCUGUAUUUCACUGACCCUGCCCGUGACCUCUGCUUCGUGCGAACGCAGUUUCUCCUGCCUCCGUUGGAUUAAGAACUAUCUACGGAACAGCAGCGGUGAUACCCGAAACAGCAUUUGGCGCUGUUGUCCAUCAACAAACAAAGGACAAAGACUUUGGAUGUUCAGCGCAUCAUCGACAUCUUUGCCUCCAAUCACAAAAACCGGCGGAUUGUACUCAUUUGAAAAUCUCAACCUGUUCGUUACACAGCUCCCCCCCAACAAUGUCCCUCACCAGAGGGACUACACAAAGUCUCUGAAACGGGCCGGCCGAUGUCCCUGUCUCCGCGGCAGCGUGGGGGACGCAGGUGCUUCUGCCCGGUGGGUGGGGCAACGCCCCUGUGCAGUGAAAGGGGUCUGUGGUGGGAAGGGGGAAGGAGGGAUGUGAACAGGGGGUUUAGUCACUGUCUCUGGGGAAGUAUGUGCAGGGGAAAUGGGUCUUAGAUAGGGCUCGUGUGCCCCUGUGUAGCUGUAGCACCCCUGUAAAAGGGUUGAAAUUAUCAUUAAAUGAAUUAAUAAUCAGCCGACGCUGUGUCUCUUCUUCAUGACAUGAGUUAAUCUUUUUAUAUAACAAAUUCACCAUGGCAAUGACACUGUCAAGCUAUCUAGUGUUUGUGCAGCUUCCCUGCUUGAAAGGGAUUGGUACAGACCAUAGGAGGUUUAACUGGGUUCCACUCAUGCAAUGACCACACCGUUUUCCUUCUUUAACUCCUCUUUACUUUUCUUUUUGUAUUUUCACACGUACAGGUAAGUUGUAGCAGGUAGGUAUUGUGGGUACAGUUGUAAGUGGGUUGCAAGUGGUAAACUGCUAGGUAUACUGCAAGGUAAAAAACCUUUAAAGAAAACCAAAAAUAACUACAGUAAAUGCAGUGCAGAAUGAAAUAGUAAAUACAAACAUGUUUUUCAUAUAUGCAUUUAAAUACUUAUAAAUAUAAAUAUAUAAAUAUAAAUAUUAUUAAUAGUUUUUAAUGUCUAAGCAUAUUUUUCAUGAAUUCUGUUUUAAAUAUAUGAAACCAUUUCCAUUUUUAACUGCUUUAAAUAUCAAUUCAUUUUUAAAUGCACAAAUUAAUCUUAACUGUUUUUUUUUAUAUAUAUAUAAUCACUCAUUUGAAAUGUAAAUAUAAAUAGAUCAAUAAAGUCAAAUAGAAAUAACUUUAGCAGUAUUCAGAUCAUUUCUAUCAAUCUACAGAUCAAAAAAUAAACCCCAUUUGUUUUCAAACAAUUUGCAGUCAAACAAUCAGGUGGCAUCAAACACCAAACAAUUGUCCAUGCUUAAGCGCACGUUUUAACGUGCGCUACAAGCGGUUGCGCAACAUUACAAUCCUUACACUAACAAAAUCUUUCUCUUACCGGCCGUUUCUCCAGGCUUUUUAUGGCUGUACCAGCUCUGCUUUUUCAGCGUUUUCUAGCGCAGCUUUGCUCCUGCUGCUGGACAGAACGCUGUCUGAUUUGUUUGCAACUGGCGUUUCCUGAAAGAGUCUCUCUUCCCCUUUCUGUCCUUUCCGGUCAGGUGAUGCAAUGACGCGGAUUUCCCAGGUAACGCUCUGAGGAGGGAUUCCCCCAGCUGUCAGUCGGCGCUGCAUAUUAACCCCUUCAUAUCCAGCGGGGAUUUUCCAAGUUGACUUCACACCUCCCACUCGACCUUCCAGUGGAGACACCUGGGAGGUCGCAUGUUACAGGUGCAACUUGGGUCAGAUGUUUAGUUCUGUUCUUCGGUGGGAAGCAAGACCACUAGUCGCCUUACGUCUCUGUGAAGAACUGCUGCUGGGAUCUUUUCUUUGAAUUUCUUAGAUGUUCGGUGACUUACUUUUGCUCCGGUAGGCCUUGUGACAGGAACGGGGUAGCUUGGGAAGGUUCUGACAUUGACGUCCCUCACAACUCCUUUGCUGUCCGAGUUGACGCUAACCACUCUUGCAAUCCUGAACUGACCCCUAAGGGCGUUUUGGUCCGCCAUCCAGACGAUGUCCCCGACUGCGACAUUUCUCUUGGCGGUAUGCCAUUUGUUCCUUACGAAUAAGUUAGGACCAGCAAGUUGACUCCAGUUCCUCCAGAACUUGUUAACUUGCGCUUGCAUUUCUUUAAGCCUUUUGUAGGGAUAGUCACUGAAGUCAAAUGUUCUGACAUCUCCACCCUGUGAUGCUCGUCCGAGCAGGAGACAGUUAGGAGUG
rnacentral:lncRNA from 1 species